GACGAACGCUGGCGGCGUGCUUAACACAUGCAAGUCGAACGGAAAGGCCCUGCUUUUGUGGGGUGCUCGAGUGGCGAACGGGUGAGUAACACGUGAGUAACCUGCCCUUGGCUUUGGGAUAACUUCAGGAAACUGGGGCUAAUACCGGAUAGGAGCUCCUGCUGCAUGGUGGGGGUUGGAAAGUUUCGGCGGUUGGGGAUGGACUCGCGGCUUAUCAGCUUGUUGGUGGGGUAGUGGCUUACCAAGGCUUUGACGGGUAGCCGGCCUGAGAGGGUGACCGGCCACAUUGGGACUGAGAUACGGCCCAGACCCCUACGGGAGGCAGCAGUGGGGAAUAUUGCACAAUGGGCGGAAGCCUGAUGCAGCAACGCCGCGUGCGGGAUGACGGCCUUCGGGUUGUAAACCGCUUUCGCCUGUGACGAAGCGUGAGUGACGGUAAUGGGUAAAGAAGCACCGGCUAACUACGUG
rnacentral:rRNA from 1 species